rnacentral:rRNA from 1 species
CGCGUAGGCGGUUUUAUAAGUCAGAUGUGAAAGCCCAUGGCUCAACCAUGGACGUGCAUUUGAAACUGUGAGACUUGAGUAUUGGAGGGGGUGGUGGAAUUCCCGGUGUAGAGGUGAAAUUCGUAGAUAUCGGGAGGAAUACCAGUGGCGAAGGCGACCACCUGGCCAAAUACUGACGCUCAUGUGCGAAAGCGUGGGGAGCAAACA